AAAGUCGUAACAAGGUUUCCGUAGGUGAACCUGCGGAAGGAUCAUUACUGAAGUGAUUUGGGGAUGUUGCUGGCCUCUUCUUUUUGAGGGGCAAAUGUGCACUCCCUGAACAAUUCACAAUUUCCAUCACACCCUUGUGCACAUCUUGUAGGCAUCCCCUCGUCUUCAAGGCUUGGGGUUGUCCUAUGUAUUCUUUCAUCUCACACUUUUUUGAAUGGUGCUCUUGAAUGCAUCUUAUGGAUUAUUUGUAAAAAAGUAAUCACAGAAACAACUUUCAACAAUGGAUCUCUUGGCUCUC
rnacentral:misc_RNA from 1 species